rnacentral:tRNA from 1 species
GGCCCCAUCGUCUAUCGGUUAGGACGUCAGCUUCUCAAGCUGAAAAGAGGAGUUCGAUUCUCCUUGGGGCUA